rnacentral:rRNA from 1 species
CCUACGGGAGGCAGCAGUAGGGAAUAUUGCUCAAUGGGGGAAACCCUGAAGCAGCAACGCCGCGUGGAGGAUGAAGGUUUUCGGAUUGUAAACUCCUUUUGUUAGAGAAGAUAAUGACGGUAUCUAACGAAUAAGCACCGGCUAACUCCGUGCCAGCAGCCGCGGUAAUACGGAGGGUGCAAGCGUGACUCGGAAUCACUGGGCGUAAAGGGCGCGUAGGCGGGAUAGCAAGUCAGAUGUGAAAUCCUAUGGCUUAACCAUAGAACUGCAUUUGAAACUGUUAUUCUAGAGUAUGGGAGAGGUAGGUGGAAUUCUUGGUGUAGGGGUAAAAUCCGUAGAGAUCAAGAGGAAUACUCAUUGCGAAGGCGGCCUGCUAGAACAUAACUGACGCUGAUGCGCGAAAGCGUGGGGAGCAAACAGGAUUAGAUACCCGAGUAGUC